GGGGGACUGGGCGCCCAGUGCUCCGGCCGCGGCGUUCGGGGAGCCGUCUGCGGGGGGGGCGCUGGAAGCGCUUAGGACCCUAACUCGGACGGACGGAAUUGGGACGCCCAGCGUGCAGAGCAGCGCUUCCCCGGAGCACUUUCUUGGUCUUGUCGCCUGGUUUGAUGGCAGCCACAGUGGGCCUGGAGGGGGCUGAGCGGAGGGAAGAGGAAAGCAGGGCUGGCGAUGACACACGCCGUUUCACACGGUGAGGAAGUAGGACAGGGAGGAGCCGGGCAGCCAGGUGGGCCUGGGACAUGCAAGUCUGUGAUCCUUCAGGGUUAACGAGCAGACCCGGACAGCUGCCCGGCAGCUGCCUAUGAUUCAGGAACAAGAGGCUGGGGCAAGCAGGUUGCCAAAUUCCUGUUUCCUCAUCUACUAAAUGGGGUGCCCGCAGCAGGAAGCGCCUACCGUUGUUGGGAAGUUUCGAGGUAACAGCGGCAGCUGGAGCUCACUGAGCGCAGACUGUGCCAGGCCCUGGGAUCCAACAGGCGGGCAGACUCCUCUGCUGAGCUGGACCUGGCGGGGUGCUUUUCAAGGAAGUAAACAGCAGUCCUGGCUUACCUCAAGCACACAGUGACUUUCCCAUCCCGAUCACCGAAGUGACUAAGCUCGGACCCCAUGCCACCAGCUCCACUCCCAGCCGAACACCCCACCCGGCUGGUGACAGCUAAUAAUGAAUGAGUUGGUUAACAGUGUGUGGCUCCUGAGAGGAGGAACUUUGGAGUUAGCAGUAGGGAGCUCCCCAUCACUAGCAGUGUGCAAGCAGAAACCAGAGGAACGAUUCACACCAACGGUGGCAUUCAGUGUGCACAGCCCUGAGCUCUGGAAUGUGCACUGUGCUCUGGGUUUCCCUGGCCCAUCCUCGGGAGGCUGGAGCACAGACUGGACCAGGGCUGCCGGCCAUCCCAGGCAAGAUGCUGGGUGCAGGGACCUCAGAGUGAACGGGACACUGUCCCUGUUGUUGGAGAGCUCUGGCCUCCUAGGAGACAGAUGCAGAUCCAGAUAGUCAAGGGCAGAGGGGGAACAGCUCAUGGUUACAGCUAAUGGCCUGGGGGACAGAGGACAUCGGAGCUCAAAGGCUAUACACACAGCCGGUAUAAGUCCCUCCUCUGGUCUUUCUCAUUGCUCUUCCUGACUUCUGCUUGCAUGCUGCUAGGAACAGGGCACUCACUACCACCACCACAGCCCCUUCCACGUUGGAAAAAGUACAUGGGGGCUGGGGGAGAAGUGAGAGCCCAUCCCUUCCCCACUGGGCACCCACUGAGGCCCCUUGAUGUCCUCUUCCCUACACACUUCUCUACAGCAAGGCCAAGAACAGGCCUCACGCUGCCACCUGGCCCUGAGCUUCUCCAGGCUUCCUCGUCUUCCCACCAGGCAGAGUAAGCAAGCUUGCCUCUCUGGUUGUGUGCUGACCUCGAGGAGUCCUGGCUAUUUGCGGAGAAAGAACAGUAACUGAAGCCUGGCGUGGUGAUGCACGGCUGUGAACCUAGCGCUUUGGGAGGCUGAGGAACCCAUGGGAGGAACCCAGUGCCCAGAGGGUCCCAGCUUCCAGCUGUUACCUUCCUACAGCUCAGAGAGGUUGCAGGACUUACUGGAAGACACCCAGCAGUCCCUCCUGGAGGCUCCGUUCCCCAGCGUGCUCUGCCACGAAGGAUCCCAGGAGGGGAGCAGCUGCCUCCCCAAGGGGCGCAUCAGUGCUGAGGGGCACCCGGCGAGACGGCACAGGUGCUGGGGAGGGACCAGGCCCUGGGGGUGACCAUGAGCAGAGACACCCCUGUGUACCCAGACGCAGACGCGGGGCUACCAGUCAUGGGAGGGGAGAUGUUUUUAAACAAUUUAACAUGUUUUUUCUUUAAUGCAUUAAAGUGCUGCU
rnacentral:lncRNA from 1 species